rnacentral:rRNA from 1 species
AGUGAACGCUGGCGGUAGGCCUAACACAUGCAAGUCGAACGGCAGCACAGUAAGGGCUUGCUCUUACGGGUGGCGAGUGGCGGACGGGUGAGGAAUACAUCGGAAUCUACUUUUUCGUGGGGGAUAACGUAGGGAAACUUACGCUAAUACCGCAUACGACCUACGGGUGAAAGCAGGGGAUCUUCGGACCUUGCGCGAUUGAAUGAGCCGAUGUCGGAUUAGCUAGUUGGCGGGGUAAAGGCCCACCAAGGCGACGAUCCGUAGCUGGUCUGAGAGGAUGAUCAGCCACACUGGAACUGAGACACGGUCCAGACUCCUACGGGAGGCAGCAGUGGGGAAUAUUGGACAAUGGGCGCAAGCCUGAUCCAGCCAUACCGCGUGGGUGAAGAAGGCCUUCGGGUUGUAAAGCCCUUUUGUUGGGAAGAAAAGCAGCAGGUUAAUACCCCGCUGUUCUGACGGUACCCAAAGAAUAAGCACCGGCUAACUUCGUG